UGAAACACGGACCAAGGAUUCUAACAUCUGUGCGAGUGUUUGGGUGUCAAACCCGUACGCGUAAUGAAAGUGAACGGAGGCGGGAACCUCUCGGGGUGCACCGUCGACCGAUCCUGAUGUCUUCGGAUGGAUUUGAGUAAGAGCAUAGCUGUUGGGACCCGAAAGAUGGUGAACUAUGCCUGAAUAGGGUGAAGCCAGAGGAAACUCUGGUGGAGGCUCGCAGCGGUUCUGACGUGCAAAUCGAUCGUCAAAUUUGGGCAUAGGGGCGAAAGACUAAUCGAACUAUCUAGUAGCUGGUUCCUGCCGAAGUUUCCCUCAGGAUAGCAGUAACGUUUUCAGUUUUAUGAGGUAAAGCGAAUGAUUAGAGGCCUGGGGGUUGAAACAACCUUCACCUAUUCUCAAACUUUAAAUAUGUAAGAAGUCCUUGUUGCUUAGUUGAACGUGGACAUUUGAAUGUAUCGUUACUAGUGGGCCAUUUUUGGUAAGCAGAACUGGCGAUGCGGGAUGAACCGAACGCGGAGUUAAGGUGCCGGAAUGCACGCUCAUCAGACACCACAAAAGGUGUUAGUUCAUCUAG
rnacentral:rRNA from 1 species